rnacentral:rRNA from 1 species
AACGAACGCUGGCGGCAUGCCUAACACAUGCAAGUCGAACGAGACCUUCGGGUCUAGUGGCGCACGGGUGCGUAACGCGUGGGAACCUGCCCUUAGGUUCGGGAUAACUCCCCGAAAGGGGUGCUAAUACCGGAUAAUGUCUUCGGACCAAAGAUUUAUCGCCUUUGGAUGGGCCCGCGUUGGAUUAGCUAGUUGGUAGGGUAAAAGCCUACCAAGGCGACGAUCCAUAGCUGGUCUGAGAGGAUGAUCAGCCACACUGGGACUGAGACACGGCCCAGACUCUUACGGGAGGCAGCAGUGGGGAAUAUUGGACAAUGGGCGAAAGCCUGAUCCAGCAAUGCCGCGUGAGUGAUGAAGGCCUUAGGGUUGUAAAGCUCUUUCACCCGGGAUGAUAAUGACAGUACCGGGAGAAUAAGCUCCGGCUAACUCCGUG